AAAACGACUGUUAAUACCGCAUAAUAUCUGUGGAUUAAAGGCGGCGUUAGGCUGUCGCAGAUGGAUGAGCCUGCGUUGGAUUAGCUAGUUGGUGAGGUAAUGGCCUACCAAGGCUACGAUCCAUAGCUGAUUUGAGAGAAUGAUCAGCCACAGUUGGGACUGAGACAACCGGACCCAAACUCCGUACGGGAGGCAGCAGUGAGAAUAUGACAGUGGGGAACCCUGAUCCAGCAAUGCCAUGUGUGUGAAGAAGGCCUUAGGGUUGUAAAGCACUUUAGUUGGGGAAGAAAGCUUUAAGGUUAAUAACCUUGAGGAAGGACGUUACCCAAAGAAUAAGCACCGGCUAACUCCGUGC
rnacentral:rRNA from 1 species